UACGUAGGGCGCAAGCGUUGUCCGGAAUUAUUGGGCGUAAAGAGCUCGUAGGCGGCCUGUUGCGUCCGCUGUGAAAUCCCGGGGCCCAACCCCGGGCGUGCAGUGGAUACGGGCUGGCUGGAGGCAGGCAGGGGAGAACGGAAUUCCUGGUGUAGCGGUGAAAUGCGCAGAUAUCAGGAGGAACACCAAAGGCGAAGGCAGUGUCCUGGGGAGUACCUGACGCUCAGGUGCGAAAGCCAGGGGAGCGAACGGG
rnacentral:rRNA from 1 species